CCCUUAGAUGUUCUGGGCCGCACGCGCGCUACACUGAUGAAUGCAACGAGCUCUACCCUUGACCGAAAGGCCCGGGUAAACUUGUGAAACUUCAUCGUGAUGGGGAUAGAUUAUUGCAAUUAUUAAUCUUCAACGAGGAAUUCCUAGUAAGCGCGAGUCAUCAGCUCGCGUUGAUUACGUCCCUGCCCUUUGUACACACCGCCCGUCGCUCCUACCGAUUGAAUGGUCCGGUGAAAUCUUCGGAUUGCCGACCAAGAUCCAGCAAUGGAGCUUGGUUGCGAGAAGUUGAUUAAACCUUAUUAUUUAGAGGAAGGAGAAGUCGUAACA
rnacentral:rRNA from 1 species